rnacentral:misc_RNA from 1 species
AUGAGAUAUUUAUAUUCAUAUCUCAUUUAAUUAGUUGAUUUUUUCCAAGUGAGCAGUGAUAGAACUUCAACCAUUGAGAACCUGAGAAACAGGACAUAGGAAACAAUUGCCACUUAGAGCCUCUAUAAAGAGCUUUUAUAUAAAGUGAUCAAUUUUGAACAAAUAGAAAUAAUAUAUAUAAAGUUUUUGUUUUUUGUAAGAAGUUUAUGUAGUAUUUAUUUAUGAAUAUCAUAUGAUUAUACAACAUCUUGUUUGUCUGUUAGUUUUGAUUUUCCAAGUUAUUCUUUAUUGUAUUGAUCAGUGCAUAGCGGAAAAACUGGCAGCAGUAGAUUUGAUGUUCAUUCUGUAUUAUCAAAGUUUCUUAUAUUAAAUAUUAAUAUGGUUUGAUAAUGCCCCACCUCAAAUUAUCAAUUUCAAUUUUGUGGCCCCUCACUCAAAUUUUGUAACCAUUUAAGGCAGAUAACUCUGUAUUUGAUUUUAUUACCCAAUCUACAUAAUUUUUUUGACUACAAGAUGUUUCUAAUGGAUAUGAACCAUUCAUUUUUUACCUUUUUUCCAAUAUGGCCGACAUUUGCUGACAAAGGUCAUUGUGAUAUGUCAAGGGUCAAUGUGUUUAAGUACCUGUGCACUUGGUUAUGUAGAAGUCAUUAGCUGUGCAAUAAAACAAAUAGGAGACCAAAUC